CAGGGAAGUGAGGUAUGUUGAAAGCUUGUGGAGCAGAGCUUUGUAAACAAGAAGGGAGUAAUGAAGUGAUCUACAUUCUGAUACAGGAUGCAGUACAUCAGUAGAACACACUGGACUCUCCUCCGCCAAUCAUAGAAGGAGAAUGGUCUAAUUCCUCCCAUCAAAAAGAGAGCUGGCCCAAGCAAGCACAGGUUACACCUAAAGCAUGAGGAGCGUGACCUUCAUCAACGACUACGCAGAGGAUAAUGCAAUAGUAUUAUCAGGACGCCACCUAGGACAAAAACACUUGGUGGAAAGCUGCUGAUGCCAUGUGACAAAAGCAGCUCUACAAGAAAUCAAUGACAAACCUUGCUUCGAUGCUCUGGAGCCUGGUGUCGUCAUCACCAAGCGUUCAGACUCAGUCGGGACCAGGUUUCAGCUGCUGCGCAACGCUGACAUCAUAGAUGGUCUGCCUGUAGAAGCACCGCCUGGACUGGACACAGCUUGACAAACGUAUAUUUUUGAGAAGAUCGGGGAGUUUUGCGACGAAGAGGCUAUGGACAUCACAUGCCCUGCACCAAAGUCAAGGGCAGGACAGAAACAGGCUCUCCGAAUAUAGAUUCCCUUGUUCAUGCGUGGUUCGGAAGGACCAGUCAUCAGCACUAUCUGCAGUGCCUCUAUUCACAUGACUCUCUCCAUAUGUUGCUUUUUAUUUAUUAUAUAUUUUAUUUACCCCUGAUUGUAUGCAUAUCUGCCUCAUCUAUCAUUUGUUUCAUGAGCUGAAAUAAAAAGAUCACAGAAAUGUUCAAUACGCAC